GGAAGGAAAAGUCGUAACAAGGUUUCCGUAGGUGAACCUGCGGAAGGAUCAUUACUGAGAACUUGCCCUUAGGGGUAGAUCUCCCACCCAAUGUUUACAUACUUUGUUGCUUUGGCAGGCCUGCCUCUUGUGCUACUGGCCUUGGCUAGUUAGUGCCUGCCAGAGAACCAACACUCUGAAUCAUUUAUUGUCUGAAGUACUAUUUUAAUAGUUAAAACUUUCAACAACGGAUCUCUUGGUUCUG
rnacentral:misc_RNA from 1 species